rnacentral:lncRNA from 1 species
GGAACAUCAGAGGCAGUGGCCAGACACAAAGGGCUCAAAUGGAAAGCAGCUGCAGAGACAGAGAAUCCGAUUGUGAAGGCACCCGAGACUCCAGGCAGGCGGAAGAGGCAGCGUCUUGGGUGCUGGGCUGGGUAACAGAGGCCAGGGUAUUGACCAGAAACUCCAACAAGCAGGGGACAGCUUGGGGGGUGGGGGGUUGUCUCCCACCCCUUCUUCAGGGUGCUGGCCUAGGAGACAGGGACCCCGCCUCGGGCAUCUCCUGCUUAACCUCAGUUUCUGUGUCCAGACAUGGGCAGGCCAUCCUGACUCUCUUAGCCUUGGUUUCCAUCUCCAAAAUGUGUCCAGUAGUGGCACCUUCCUUCUAGGGAGGGGUUGUGUGGUUAAGGUCUCGGGGCGGGCUCCUCAGUCAAACAGGCUUGGCUUUGAUCCUGCCUCUGCCUCUCACUAACUGUGUGACCUGGAGUAAGCCACCUCCCCUCCCUGUGCCUUGAUUUUCCCAUCUGUGAAAUGGAAACAAUAAUAGAACUAAUCUGCUGGGGAGAUGAACUGAGAAGACUCAGCCUGGUGCCUGGAGCAGAGUAAAGACUAAUGAUUAUUGUUGUCUUUCUUUUUGGAGGCAGAGUCUCACUGUGUUGCCCAGCCUGGAGUGCAGUGGCAGUGGCGCGAUCUCGGCUCACUACAAGCUCCACCUCCCAGGUUCAAUCAUUGACCCUCCAGCCUCAGCCUCCCGAGAAGCUAGGACUAUAGGCUCACACCACCAGGCCCAGCUAAUUUUUUGUAUUUUUAGUAGAGACCAGGUUUCACCAUGUUGACCAGGCUGGUCUUGAACUCCUGGCCUGAAGUGAUCUGCCUGCCUUAGCCUCCCAAAUUGCUGGGAUUCCAGGUGUGAGUCACCGCGUCCAGGCAUCUUUCUUAUUAUUAUUAUCCCAGGAGCUCCACCUGCUAAGGCCCCAGCCUCAGAAAGCCUCCCUUCCCCUGAGUGCUGGUUCAUCUCAACAAUUUCCUCACAUAUUUCUUGAGCAGCAACUAUACCGGUCUUGGCAAAGCCAAGGUUCUAUCUAGGAGAAGAAAGACAUUAAAUGAAGGACCCGUGUGUGAAGGGCUUGGUGAGUCUGGGAUCAAAGAGGCCCAGUAGGGUGUCAGAGGUCACGUAGCCAAGACAUGGCAGAGCUGAGAUGAAACCCCGCAGUGGGACACUGCCCCACUUGCCCCCCGACAGCGCUCUCCAGCCUCCAGGCCUUUGCUCCAGCUCUUCCUUCUGCCCAGACAUUCCAGACCCUGCACCGUCUCAUAUCCACUCUGCUGGAGGAAUGAAGAGAACAGCCCUUGGAGGCCGCAAAGUGUCCUCAAGCCUCAGUUUUCCCAUCUAUGAAAUGGGGAUAGCAUGGGGCUUUCCUCUCGGGCUGCAGAAAGGAUCGAGAAAAGGCUUAUUAUUCACCUAGGGCCUAGCCCUUGGGAACCAGUCCGGAAGGACAGCUGUUAUUAUUGCUAAUGCUGUUCCUAUCACAGUGACAGCGUGUCCCGUUAGGCCUGCAAACCCCUAUACCUCAGUUUUUCCUGUAAUGAAACCUGCCUGCUGAGGCCUCGGUGAGGGCUCAUUUAAUGAUAAUCUUUAGGGAAAAAAAAUACACCCCCCAAGCCGCCUGUGUGGCUGCAGCCCACAGGGGUAACCUGACGCCCCUCGCCUGACCUGGCCCCCAGGUCUUUGUGUGAGUCCUGCCCAGAUUACUGUAUUUGUCCAAACCCAAAGCCAAGGCUGGCAUGAGCUCAAUGCUCUGCAUUGUGCCAGAGCCAGGCCCCCCAGGCCUCAUCCCUCCUCCCGCUGGGGAUCCGGCCCCCAGGAGGUGUCACAGGGGAAAUCGGAAACCCAGCAGGGCCCACUGGGGUGGCCUCCUGGGUGCCAGGCCCUAGGCUUACGCUCCUUGCGUGUUGCCUCAUCAAUCCUUCAUGACCUCACUGUGCAGAAAGGCACAUGCUGUGCCCAUUUUCCAGAUGGAGAGAAUGAGGCCCGGGUAGCCAAAUUGUUGCUACAGUUCAUGCCGGUGGAAGUGGCAGAGCUCAGGUCAGGCUGAAGGAGGACCUGUCCCCAGAAGAGGAACCUGGGAACCCUGGAUCUUCAGCUGGAGCCAGGCAUCUUGGGGAGCAGAGAUGAAGGAAAGCCGAACCAUGUGGCAGGGGGCACCAUGGCUAAGGAUUCCGCCCUGAGUUCAAGUCCAGCUCUGCCACACGCCCUGCACAGAAACCUACUCCUCUCUGAACUUUGCUUUCCUGAACGAAAAAAAUGGGGGAGCAGCUGAGCACGGCAGCUCACGCCUGUAAUCCCAGCACUUUGGGAGGCCGAGGUGGGAAGAUCACUUGAGGUCAGGAGUUUGAGACCAGCCUGACCAACAUGGUGAAACGCUGUCUCUGCUAAAAAGACAAAAUUAGCCAGGCGUGGUGGUGGGCACCUGUAAUCGUAGCUACUCAGGAGGCUGAGGCAGGAGAAUCACUUGAACCUGGGAGGCGGAGGUUGCAGCGAACCCAGAUCGCGACACUGCACUCCAGCAUGGGCAACAGAGCGGGACUCCAUCUAAAAAAUAAGUAAAUAAAUAAAAAGUAACAAUAACAAUAAAUAAAUAAGGGAACAAUAGCUUUUCCUCAGGGGCUGGGAGAGGACUCAGGCCAUAAGGUAGGUGAAACACUUAGCAGGUAGUAAGUGCUCAAUCUACAGGAGCUUAAAAACCCAACCGCAUCCUCCAUGGGGAAGAAUCUGUCUCCUGCCUGCGGGUCUGAGAUUCCAAAACACUGAGGAAAUUUGGCUCCAAUGGGACCUGGUAUUUGGGGAGGGAGUUAAAAAGGAGGGGUGGGGAGCAGUUUUUGGAGAUCACUCUCUCCUAGGAGUUCCCUCCCCUCUUCCCAACUUCAGUUUCUCCAUCUGACCAGGCUCCUGCCCAGCCCCUCCUAGAGAGACUAGUUUCGGGGCUGAUUUUGUUGUUUGCUGUUUUUUUCACAUCUGCACAUACAAUCACUCAGUCUAGUGUGUCUCACAUGCCCGCAUGGAGCCACUGUGUGUGCACUGUUGUGGUUUUUCAUUUUUACUUUUCUGCAAAAGCCUUCUUUUUUUCCCUUGGUGACCAUUGAGAAUGGAUUCUUACCUAUUUUUCUGUAAGAAUGAAAAUCCCAUACAGACUGUCUGCCCGGACAAAGGGUUUCUUUAUCUGUCAUUCCUUUUACAAAUCAGAAUCACAUUGGGCAUCCUUUUCUGCAUCUUGUAUUUUUCACUCAAGAAUACCCACACAAGGCCAGGAGCGGUGGCCCAUACCUGUAAUCCCAGCAUUUUGGGAGGCUGAGGUGGGCGGAUCACUUGUGGCCAGAAGCUUGAGACCAGCCUGGCCAACAUGGUGAAACCCAGUCCUCUACCAAAAAUACAAAAAUUAGCUGGGCAUGGUGUCGCACGUCUGUAAUCCCAGCUAUUCAGGAGGCUGAGGCACAGGAAUCGCUUGAACCCGGGAGGCAGAGGUUGCAGUGAGCCGAGAUCAUGCCACUGCACUCCAGCCUGGGUGACAGAGCGAGACAGUCUCUCAAAAAAAAAAAAAAAAAAAUAUAUAUAUAUAUACACACACAUACACACACACACACACACACACACACACGAAACAAGCCCUUGUAUACCAAUUACCAUAGCAGCACUAGUCACAGUAGCCAAAAGGUGGAAACAACCCAACUGUCCAUCAGUCGAUGAAUAGAUAUGCAAAAUGUGAUCUAGCCAUACAACAGUAUUUGAUCAUUUUUUAAAAAUGAAGUACUGGUGGGGCGCAGUGGCUCACGCCCGUAAUCCCAGUACUUUGGGAGGUCAGGGCAGGUGAUCACCCGAGGUCAGGAGUUCGAGACCAGCCUGGCCAACAUGGUGAAACCCCGUCUCUACUAAAAAUACAAAAAUUAGCUAGACGUGGUGGCACAUGCCUGUAAUCCCAGCUACUCGGGAGGCUGAGGCAGGAGAAUCACUUGAACCCGGGAGAUGGAGGUUGCAGUGAGCUGAGAUCAUCCCACUGCACUCCAGCCUGGGCGACAGAGUGAGACUCCAUCUCAAAAAAAUUAAAAUUAAAAAUUAAAAAAAAAUGAAGUACUGAUGCAUGCCACAACGUGGAAGAACCUCAAAAACAUUAGGCUAAUUGAAAGAAGUUAGACACAAAAGGUCAUAUAUUGUAUGAUACUGUUUAUAUGAAGUCUCCAGUAUAGAUAAACCCAUAGAGACAGAAAGAAGACUGACGGUUGCCAGGAACUGGGGGGAGGCAGGAAUGAGGAGUGACUGUUUAAUGGGUACAUGGUCUCCUUUGGGUGAUUGAAAAUGUUUUGGGGCCUAGCACAGUGACUCAUGCCUGUAAUCCCAGCACUUUGGGAGGCCGAGGCAGGCAGAUCACUUGAGCCCAGGAGUUUGAGACCAGCCUGGGCAGCAUGACAAAACCGCACCUCUACAAAAAAUACAAAAAAUUAGCUGGGCGUGGCAGCAUGUGCAUUUAGUCCCAGCUAUCUAGGAGGCUGAGGUGGGAGGAUCACCUGAGCCUGGGGAGGUUGAGGCUGCCCUAAGCUGAGAUCACACCACUGUACUCCAG